UAAAGUGUAAAAAAGACUUCUAAUCUUUAACUAGCGUCACUGCUACACUUUAC
rnacentral:tRNA from 1 species